CAGGGGGAUAACCCGGAGAAAUCCGGCCUAAUACCGCGUAACACCUUUUGGGAGCAUUCCCGGGAGGUUAAAGGAGAGAUCCGGCAUAGGAUGGACAUGCGUCGCAUUAGGUAGACGGCGGGGUAACGGCCCACCGUGCCGACGAUGCGUAGGGGUUCUGAGAGGAAGGCCCCCCACACUGGUACUGAGACACGGACCAGACUCCUACGGGAGGCAGCAGUGAGGAAUAUUGGUCAAUGGCCGAGAGGCUGAACCAGCCAAGUCGCGUGAGGGAAGAAUGUCCUAAGGAUUGUAAACCUCUUUUGUCGGGGAGCAAAAAGGCUCUGCGGAGUCGUAUUGAGAGUACCCGAAGAAAAAGCAUCGGCUAACUCCGUGCCAGCAGCCGCGGUAAUACGGAGGAUGCGAGCGUUAUCCGGAUUUAUUGGGUUUAAAGGGUGCGCAGGCGGCGUGUCAAGCAAGCGGUAAAAUAGCGGGGCUCAACCCCGUCGAGCCGUUUGAACUGGCGCGCUUGAGUUCAGGCGAGGUAGGCGGAAUUCGUGGUGUAGCGGUGAAAUGCAUAGAUAUCACGAAGAACUCCGAUUGCGAAGGCAGCUUACCAGUCUGCGACUGACGCUCAGGCACGAAAGUGUGGGUAUCGAACAGGAUUAGAUACCCUGGUAGUCCACACAGUAAACGAUGAGCGCUAGGUGUCCGGGUCGCAUGAGACUGGGUGCCCGAG
rnacentral:rRNA from 1 species